UGGAGACUCAAACAAUCAAGUAGUUGUUUGCCUCACUCACAUUCCUGAGGCAAUCUGGUUCCAGCUGAACUCCUUGGGAACAGUCUGGGCUAUGUACCCCUGGGGCAUCUGCCCCAAUUAGCAUUGACCCUUGGGGGCCUCCUUGCUGGCUCUAGGUUACUCCCAACCUCUUGAACUCUGGGUAAACCAGAUUAUUUUUAGGAGCUCUAAGCUUUCCAUAGCCCCAAGAUGAACUGGACAUCCAGGCUCACUAUCAGAAAUUCAGUCACCUUGGAAUGCUGAAACCAACAUGGCCUGUUCCAGGCUCUCUGAACCAGGAUGUGGCAGAUGAUGAUGCUAACUCUGAUGCUAGCAUGGACCACAAUUGAUUUCAAGCAAAGUCCCCUUUCAGGAUGGAGAGGGAGAGAAAGGAGACCCUUCUCAAAUCCUCUGGAGUCAGGAAUCAUUGACAAAACAGCUUUCUUCCCAAUGGAAAAGGGUCACGGAGAAAGAAACAGGUGGCGCCCGCGGAAGGAUGCAGGGCGAGACAUUGCCACCGCGGACCCGGAGCUGCGGCGAGGCCGACGCCCGCGGGGAGGGCGCCCGGCCAGGAAGCGCGGCGGGGCCGGCGGGGCGGGCGGCAGCUGGCGGGGCCGGCUCCGCGUCCUCUGGGGUCUGAGGCAGCGGCGAGAGUUGCAGUGAGUCUGAUCCCCACCUUGCACAGGGAGAGAAGCCCUGCAGCACUAGGCUCUGUGCUUCUGUCUUCUUAAUCCCUCCUCGGUUACCAUGCACGCAGAACAGUUCCCAGUUUGUCUUUCUAAAAUGAAAAAUAUUUUAACUUUGUUUAUGCCAAC
rnacentral:lncRNA from 1 species